rnacentral:rRNA from 1 species
GUGAAAUACAAAUCGGACUAGGAUAUAGCUGGUUUUCUGCGAAAAUUGUUUUGGCAAAUUGUUUAUUCCUCUUAAAAAUAGUAGGUAUAGCACUGAAUAUCUCGAGGGAGUAUGAAAAUAUUUAUCUCAGAUAUUUAAUCUCAAAAUAACUAUUUCUUAAAAUAAAUAAUCAGACUAUGUGCGAUAAGGUAGAUAGUCGAAAGGGAAACAGCCCAGAACAGUAAUUAAAGCUCCCCAAUUAAUAUUAAGUG